rnacentral:rRNA from 1 species
AUUGAACGCCGGCGGCAUGCCUUACACAUGCAAGUCGAACGGUAACAGGUUAAGCUGACGAGUGGCGAACGGGUGAGUAAUAUAUCGGAACGUGCCCGGUCGUGGGGGAUAACUGCUCGAAAGAGCAGCUAAUACCGCAUACGACCUGAGGGUGAAAGCGGGGGAUCGCAAGACCUCGCGCGAUUGGAGCGGCCGAUAUCAGAUUAGCUAGUUGGUGGGGUAAAAGCCUACCAAGGCAACGAUCUGUAGCUGGUCUGAGAGGACAACCAGCCACACUGGGACUGAGACACGGCCCAGACUCCUACGGGAGGCAGCAGUGGGGAAUUUUGGACAAUGGACGAAAGUCUGAUCCAGCCAUGCCGCGUGCGGGAAGAAGGCCUUCGGGUUGUAAACCGCUUUUGUCAGGGAAGAAAAGGUUCUGGUUAAUACCUGGGACUCAUGACGGUACCUGAAGAAUAAGCACCGGCUAACUACGUGCCAGCCGCCGCCGUAA